rnacentral:rRNA from 1 species
UACGUAGGGUCCGAGCGUUGUCCGGAAUUAUUGGGCGUAAAGAGCUCGUAGGCGGUUUGUCGCGUCUGCUGUGAAAACCUAAGGCUCAACCUUGGGCUUGCAGUGGGUACGGGCAGACUAGAGUGCGGUAGGGGUGACUGGAAUUCCUGGUGUAGCGGUGGAAUGCGCAGAUAUCAGGAGGAACACCGAUGGCGAAGGCAGGUCACUGGGCCGCAACUGACGCUGGAGGAGCGAAAGCAUGGGGAGCGAACAGG